GGAGCUCCAGCCACCGGAGCUCGAGAGCAUUUCCUGACUAAGAAUAAAAGUUUUAUUAAUGAGGGCCAGUGCAUCAGCGGCCGGCCGGCACACUCUUGCCUCGCUCGUCGGGAAGGAUGACGGCUGUGGAAAUACAGACACGAUCACACCACGCCCUUGAUUGCGUUUCCGAUGCCACGUGAACGUCCAGAUGCCGACUUGAAUUCUUGGAGACCUUGGACCGAGGUCGGACCGGUUGUACGGAGUCUGACGGACGUCUCCCGUGGAGGUGGUCGGACAUGAAACUGAUUUUGGAAAACCAUCGUCACAAAGUUAGGGGUUAGAUGCUGAUCCUUUUAGUGGAGCCUACCUGGGCUGACAUCCUGCAUCUGCCCUCUUUUGCUUUUUGGGAAGACUAACUGCUGUGGUUUUCUUCUGUUCCAAGCGCUUGGUCUUGCAGCCACGACUGCCUGGAUUCUGCAGUGACACUUCCAUCUCUGUACCUUGAGAAUCUUGGCUAUCACACGCAGCCAUUAUCCCACAGCAAAACCGUACGCUGCGAGACAGAGAGCCUCCGUCGGCCGGGAGAAUGGGAUAAAGCGCUAGCAACGUGGAUCUUCCUUAGCUUCUUACUGGGGGCUGAUGGCGAAGUGAGGCCACAGGUGGCUCAUGCUGAUGAACUGAUGCUCCAACACCUGACUGGGCGUCAUCCGUAGCGACGCAUCCAGGUGGAACAUACCGUACGGAAGCGGCCUUGUCCAAACACAGAUCAUCAAAGGGAAUUAACAAGUUGUCAUUUUCUAUUAAAGGGUGACAUCAUUGACAGUGGCAAGCCUUAAUCAUGCUAUGAUUCUGACAUCACUUUGGAGAGAUGACAAUGGAUACAAUCAAAUGAAGCGCCAAACAUACAGAACGAAGCCAAUUCCACAUUCAAUGCGGUAUACGAAACUCGUGUUCAAUUCAACAGAAAAGGGCCGAUGCAUUUUCACCGCUUCUCUAUUUUGAAUGGGUCGAAUGAAAAUGACAUCGUAAUGCCAAAGCAGGCCGCUCCGUCUUCAUCAACCACUGUAUUCAUCAUUCCGAUUCGGACUUCACAUCCCUUUUACCCUCCAAUGUCAAUAUCGUAGCUCCCAAUCGAUGCCAAUAAAGCCUAUUGAUCUGA